AGAGUUUGAUCAUGGCUCAGGAUGAACGCUAGCGGCAGGCCUAAUACAUGCAAGUCGAACGGUAAACGCCCCUUCGGGGGUGUGAGAGUGGCGCACGGGUGCGUAACGCGUAUGCAACCCACCCGCUGCCGGGGGAUAGCCCGGAGAAAUCCGAAUUAAUACCCCAUGAGGAGUCGUUGAGGCAUCUCGGCGAUUUCAAAACUACGGUGGCGGCGGACGGGCAUGCGUGCCAUUAGAUAGUUGGCGGGGUGACGGCCCACCAAGUCGACGAUGGCUAGGGGAUCUGAGAGGACGGUCCCCCACACUGGUACUGAGACACGGACCAGACUCCUACGGGAGGCAGCAGUAAGGGAUAUUGGUCAAUGGGGGGAACCCUGAACCAGCCAUGCCGCGUGCGGGAGGACGGCCCUAUGGGUUGUAAACCGCUUUUGUUGGGGAGCAAUAAGUCCCACGUGUGGGAUGAUGAGAGUACCCAGCGAAUAAGCAUCGGCUAACUCCGUGCCAGCAGCCGCGGUAAUACGGAGGAUGCGAGCGUUAUCCGGAUUUAUUGGGUUUAAAGGGUGCGUAGGCUGGCUGUUAAGCGUGAGGUGAAAUGCCACGGCUCAACCGUGGAACUGCCUCGCGAACUGGUAGUCUGGAAUGCCCCUGCCGUGGGAGGAAUGUGUGGUGUAGCGGUGAAAUGCAUAGAGAUCACACAGAACACCGAUUGCGAAGGCAUCUCACGAAGGGGUGAUUGACGCUGAGGCACGAAAGCGUGGGGAUCAAACAGGAUUAGAUACCCUGGUAGUCCACGCAGUAAACGAUGAUAACUAACCGCUGGUUCUUUAGAGGAUCAGUGGCCAAGCGAAAGCGAUAAGUUAUCCACCUGGGGAGUACGACCGCAAGGUUGAAACUCAAAGGAAUUGACGGGGGCCCGCACAAGCGGAGGAACAUGUGGUUUAAUUCGAUGAUACGCGAGGAACCUUACCCGGGCUCGAACGGUACAGGAAGAGAUCAGGAGACUGUGACGUCCUUCGGGACCUGUAUCGAGGUGCUGCAUGGUUGUCGUCAGCUCGUGCCGUGAGGUGUCGGCUCAAGUGCCAUAACGAGCGCAACCCUUGCCGUCAGUUACCAUCAAGUUGCGUUGGGGACUCUGACGGGACUGCCACCGCAAGGUGUGAGGAAGGGGGGGAUGACGUCAAAUCAGCACGGCCCUUACGUCCGGGGCGACACACGUGUUACAAUGGGAGUUACAGAAGGGACCUACCUGGUGACAGGAUGGCAAUCUCCAAAAGCUCUCUCAGUCCGGAUCGGAGUCUGCAACCCGACUCCGUGAAGCUGGAUUCGCUAGUAAUCGCGCAUCAGCCAUGGCGCGGUGAAUACGUUCCCGGGCCUUGUACACACCGCCCGUCAAGCCAUGAAAGUCUGGGGCGCCUGAAGUCCGUGACCGAGAGGAGCGGCCUAGGGCGAAACAGGUAAUUGGGGCUAAGUCGUAACAAGGUAGCC
rnacentral:rRNA from 1 species